rnacentral:rRNA from 1 species
GUAAAUGGCUGCAUAAAUCUGAGUGUACUAAGGUAGCGCUACAAUUUGCCCUUUAAAUGGGGGCUGGUAUGAAUGGGUUCACGUGAGAGUUGCUGUGUCACAAAAAUUUAUUGAAAUUAACUUUUAGGUGAAGAGGCCUAGCUGAGUUUAAAGGACGACAAGACCCUAGAAGCUUAACUAAGAAUGUUUUAUAAUAUAGGGUAUUUGAGUUUUGUUGGGGCAACACAGUUAGUAAAUAUAACUUGCUUUUAUACACUUACCGGUUUAAACCACAUUGGUGAAUAAGAUAAGCUACUCUAGGGAUAACAGCGUUAUUUUUUUUAAUAGUACGUAUUGUAAAAGAAGUUUGCGACCUCGAUGUUGGACUAAGGUGUCCUUAAGGUGCAGAAGCCUUAAAGGGUUGGCCUGUUCGUCCAUUAAAACCUUACA